UACAAAUACUUGUUGGUUGGGUUGAUA
rnacentral:piRNA from 1 species